UACGAAGGGGGCUAGCGUUGCUCGGAAUCACUGGGCGUAAAGGGCGCGUAGGCGGCUGUUCAAGUCGGGGGUGAAAGCCUGUGGCUCAACCACAGAAUGGCCUUCGAUACUGGACGGCUCGAGACCGGAAGAGGUCAGUGGAACUGCGAGUGUAGAGGUGAAAUUCGUAGAUAUUCGCAAGAACACCAGUGGCGAAGGCGGCUCACUGGCCCGGUACUGACGCUGAGGUGCGAAAGCGUGGGGAGCAAACAGG
rnacentral:rRNA from 1 species